rnacentral:rRNA from 1 species
ACGAACGCUGGCGGCGUGCUUAACACAUGCAAGUCGCACGGGAAGGCCCUGCUUUUGUGGGGUGCUCGAGUGGCGAACGGGUGAGUAACACGUGAGUAACCUGCCCUUGACUUUGGGAUAACUUCAGGAAACUGGGGCUAAUACCGGAUAGGAGCUCCUGCUGCAUGGUGGGGGUUGGAAAGUUUCGGCGGUUGGGGAUGGACUCGCGGCUUAUCAGCUUGUUGGUGGGGUAGUGGCUUACCAAGGCUUUGACGGGUAGCCGGCCUGAGAGGGUGACCGGCCACAUUGGGACUGAGAUACGGCCCAGACUCCUACGGGAGGCAGCAGUGGGGAAUAUUGCACAAUGGGCGGAAGCCUGAUGCAGCAACGCCGCGUGCGGGAUGACGGCCUUCGGGUUGUAAACCGCUUUCGCCUGUGACGAAGCGUGAGUGACGGUAAUGGGUAAAGAAGCACCGGCUAACUACGUG